GCCACUCGCAGAAGCGGUCACUGAGCCCGACGGCCCGGCCUCACGGCCGGGGCCGUCGGGCUGGGUGACCGGUUCUGCGGGUCGU
rnacentral:pre_miRNA from 1 species